UAUCUCUCUCUCAAACAGAACCAUGCUCUGCAACUUUCUUCGUAUUCUCUGAACAACCUUCGUCAGAGAAGUGGCGGUGCGCAGCGGCUGUCACCAUCUUCUCCGGUGACCAACUUCCCCAGACUACAAAAAUUCAAACACCGAGCCCAACCUUUUUUGGCCAAGGAUCACAGGUACGGCCUCAGUUCACUCAAAUACUCCACUGAACCCUCAUAUCGGAGCCCUAAAAACUCAAACUAAACAAACUCAACUGUAUCUCAAACCCUACUACCACUACGUAUCAAAAAAACAUAUUGAAUAAGAAGGAAAGCGAAAUCACAAAACAAAACCCUAAAUCAACCACCCCAAAUCAGAUGGAGGUAAAGCAUAGAAUGAAACAAUUAUGAUGGGGACUCUACUCAAUUUAUCCAAGAGAACACGAAGGCACGAAUUUCAAACAAAAAGAAAAGAAGAGUUACCUGGCCAAAGUUUUUUUGAUGGCGUUUCUUCCGGCGACUCUCAGAUAAGUACUCGUU
rnacentral:lncRNA from 1 species